AAAUGAAUAGACGGGGACCCACACAAGCAGUGGAUCACGUGGUUUAAUUCGACAAUAAACGGGGAAUCUUACCCAGGCUUGACAUCUAUAGAAUCUUUUGGAAACAAAAGAGUGCCCGUAAGGGAGCUAUAAGACAGGUGCUGCAUGGUUGUCGUCAGCUCGUGCCUUGAGGUGUUCGGUUAAGUCCGUUAACGAGCGCAACCCAUGUUGUUAGUUAUAUUUUCUAACAAGACUGCCUAGGUUAACUAGGAGGAAGGUGUGGAUGACGUCAAAUCAGCAUGGCUUUUACGCCUGGGGCUACACACAUGAUACAAUGGUAUAUACAAAGAGUUGCAAAAUCGUAAGAUCGAGCUAAUCUAUUAAAGUAUAUCUCAGUCCGGAUUGAGGUCUGAAACUCGACCUCAUGAAGUUGGAAUUGCUAGUAAUCGUGAAUCAGAUAUGUCACGGUGAAUAUGUUCCUGGGUCUUGUACACACCGCCCGU
rnacentral:rRNA from 1 species